rnacentral:rRNA from 1 species
AUACCCUAUUAUUAAAAUUUAAAUUGAAAAUACUAAAAUAGUAGAUAAUUAUUUAUUGAAACUUAAAUAAUUUGGCGGUAUUUUAGUUCAUUUAGAGGAAUCUGUUUAAUAAUUGAUAAUCCACGAAUAAAUUUACUUAAUUUUUUAUUUUGUAUAUCGUUGUUAAAAAAAUAUUUUUUAAUAAUAAUAAUAUUUAAAAAUUUUGAUUAAAAAUUAAAUCAGAUCAAGAUGCAGAUUAUAAUUAAGAAUAUAAUGGAUUACAAUAAAUUUAUUUAGAUGAAUAUUAAUUUGUAAAA